rnacentral:rRNA from 1 species
UACGUAGGGUGCAAGCGUUGUCCGGAAUUAUUGGGCGUAAAGAGCUCGUAGGCGGUCUGUCGCGUCUGCUGUGAAAACUCAGGGCUUAACCCUGAGCUUGCAGUGGGUACGGGCAGACUAGAGUGCGGUAGGGGAGACUGGAAUUCCUGGUGUAGCGGUGAAAUGCGCAGAUAUCAAGAGGAACACCGGUGGCGAAGGCGGGUCUCUGGGCCGUAACUGACGCUGAGGAGCGAAAGCAUGGGGAGCGAACAGG